GACGAACGCUGGCGGCGUGCCUAAUACAUGCAAGUCGAGCGGAGUUUAUCCUUCGGGGUAAGCUUAGCGGCGGACGGGUGAGUAACACGUAGGCAACCUGCCCCUUAGCCUGGGAUAACUACCGGAAACGGUAGCUAAUACCGGAUAAUCCCUUUCCUCGCCUGAGGGAAGGAUAAAAGGCGGAGCAAUCUGCUGAUAAGGGAUGGGCCUGCGGCGCAUUAGCUAGUUGGUGGGGUAACGGCUCACCAAGGCGACGAUGCGUAGCCGACCUGAGAGGGUGAACGGCCACACUGGGACUGAGACACGGCCCAGACUCCUACGGGAGGCAGCAGUAGGGAAUCUUCCGCAAUGGGCGAAAGCCUGACGGAGCAACGCCGCGUGAGUGAUGAAGGUUUUCGGAUCGUAAAGCUCUGUUGCCAGGGAAGAACGUCCGGUAGAGUAACUGCUGCCGGAGUGACGGUACCUGAGAAGAAAGCCCCGGCUAACUACGUGCCAGCAGCCGCGGUAAGAC
rnacentral:rRNA from 1 species